rnacentral:siRNA from 1 species
UCGAUAUGUGCCUUGAUAAAUCC